rfam:Pseudozyma antarctica DNA, scaffold: scaffold_v10001, strain JCM 10317, whole genome shotgun sequence.
GGGGAUAUAGCUCAGUGGUAGAGCGUCUCGUUUGCACCAGCAAAAUUCGAGAAGGUCUGGGGUUCAAUCCCCCAUGUCUCCA